AUUUUGGAUUGUCCCCAACCUUUGUCAUGUUUGUUAUGGGAAAUGUUUAAUUAGAAAACCUCAAAUUCACAUGUUCAUGAAAUGGUAUAUCAUUUUUUAUCUUUCUUGUAAAAUGUUCCUUGCUAAUCAUAUCCAUUGUCACGGCUGUAAAAACCUACAUGGUAUAAAACUAACCAUGCUAACUGUUGGUUGACAUGUUUAUUUCUAUGUUUGCACAUUUAUCUUGCAGUUCUUUAUUAAUUUAAAACUAAUAACUGUUUUGUCAAUAUAAGUUUUCUUGCUGAUCGACUUGCAUCAUUUGCUGUAGAUUUACUGGGUAUUGAACAAGAUCAUUUAUUAGUUGUAUUUUUUUUCAGUUUGGGAAGAACAUGUAAUCAUGUCGCUGGACUCCUUUUCCGAGUUGAGGCUGCAAACAAACUAGGUGCAUCUGCAUGUACUUCCCUCCCCUGCACAUGGAAAGUACCGUCAAGAAUAAAGGGAGUGAAGCCAACUAAAAUUAAAGAUUUGAGAAUCUUCAAGUCAAGACAUGGACAAUCAGAUAGUAAAAGACCUUUAGUUUGCCAGUCCAAGUUGCAGUACCAGCCCAUACCUGAAAGUAGAGACAACCUGGACACUUUUUCAGCAGUACUCAAGAAGUCUAUCCCAAAUGCUUGUAUUUUCAAAGGUUUUGUCACAGAAAGUGUAGAAGAAACAGUAACCAAACCAGUUAGUGAAGACAUCACAGCCUACACAAUACAAGACAUUAAAACAAAAUGUAACAACCAAACUGACUUUUUAAGCAACAUGCCAAAGUAUACUCAGAGUGAAAUUCAAAAAGUAAUGCGUUCUACGGUUGGUCAGUGCAGCAAUGAAAAAUGGCAUGAAAUAAGAUCGGGUCGUCUGACAUCAUCGAAUUUCUACGAAAUACAUACAAAAGUGCAGAGUUAUAAGAAAAAAGAGGGUGUUACUUUUGAUCCAUUAAUUUCACGACUCAUGGGAUACAAAAAGUUAAAUCCUAACAUAAGGUCUCUUAAGCAUGGGCGAGAAAUGGAACCAGAAGCCAAAUCGUGUUACCUUGUGGGUAUGAAGAAAGCAGGCCACACAGAUGUUAUUAUUACAGAAUGUGGAAUAUUUCUUGAUAAUGACAUGACUUAUCUUGGGGCUAGCCCUGAUUUACUCGUUGAUUGUGAUUGUUGUGGCUCAGGUGUUGUUGAAAUUAAAUGUCCUCUUGUUCCAAAAUGUGGCAAAUGUACAACAUUUUGCAGUUGUUCUAUUCCAGACUAUUUGUAUGUUGAUGGAACUAAGUACAGUUUAAAAAAAAAACACAAAUAUUAUGGCCAAAUUCAAGGCCAGUUAGCAAUAACUGGAAGGAAAUAUUGUGACUUUUUUAUAUAUACAUGUAAUGGAACAUUUUGUCAGAGAAUUGUUUUUGACAAACCUUAUUAUGAGGAAAUUGUUGAUAGUUUAAAAUUA